UAGGGUUAGAUUUGGAGAAAGCUGUGUCCC
rnacentral:piRNA from 1 species